rnacentral:rRNA from 1 species
GUGAGUAACGCGUGGGAAUCUACCCAUCUCUACGGAACAACUCCGGGAAACUGGAGCUAAUACCGUAUACGUCCUUCGGGAGAAAGAUUUAUCGGAGAUGGAUGAGCCCGCGUUGGAUUAGCUAGUUGGUGGGGUAAUGGCCUACCAAGGCGACGAUCCAUAGCUGGUCUGAGAGGAUGAUCAGCCACACUGGGACUGAGACACGGCCCAGACUCCUACGGGAGGCAGCAGUGGGGAAUAUUGGACAAUGGGCGCAAGCCUGAUCCAGCCAUGCCGCGUGAGUGAUGAAGGCCCUAGGGUUGUAAAGCUCUUUCAACGGUGAAGAUAAUGACGGUAACCGUAGAAGAAGCCCCGGCUAACUUCGUGCCAGCAGCCGCGGUAAUACGAAGGGGGCUAGCGUUGUUCGGAAUUACUGGGCGUAAAGCGCACGUAGGCGGAUACUUAAGUCAGGGGUGAAAUCCCGGGGCUCAACCCCGGAACUGCCUUUGAUACUGGGUAUCUCGAGUCCGGAAGAGGUGAGUGGAAUUCCGAGUGUAGAGGUGAAAUUCGUAGAUAUUCGGAGGAACACCAGUGGCGAAGGCGGCUCACUGGUCCGGUACUGACGCUGAGGUGCGAAAGCG